CGCACAACCUCAUUGGGCUGUAUAACUUCAGUUACAAAUAGUACUGCAUUUCAGUGCCUUUUAGAGAGGUGAGAUCUCUCAGAAGUAUCUAUUGCUCUUUGCUGUUCCUCUCUGAUUUGAGACGGAAAAGCAGAAAGGAAAAAAGACAAGAGUUAUAGUCCUUCAGCAAGAGAUUCUUUGAUAUAACUGAAUGCUUUAGAAUCCUUUGAGUGAAGAUCUGGUUAAGUUUGCCUUGUUUAAUUUGACCUGUAUUUUAUUUCCUGAGACCUCUAUUUGUUGCAGUUGAUUGGACAGCAGAACAUUCUGUCUAGUGAAUAACUGGCUGAGGCUGGUCUGUGUUGUACAGAGAUAGCCAGUUUUGGUGAAUUUCAGUGUUCUCUGGAUUAAAGGAACCUGCUCUCCAAAUUAAGAAGUCACAUGUUCUGAAGUGAUUAUAAACUAAAAGAGCUUCUAAGUGCUCUGGCUAUUUGAGAAUGGAAGAGAAAAUAUUUUGCCCAGAUGGAGAGAUGAGAACCAGUAGACAUGCAGUUGGAAGGAGAGUAGUAUCCUGAGAUGCAUAUGUUCUUGACUGGACUCUUAAUAUUGAAUAAAAGUCUUCCAGGGAGAAGGACAGGGGAAGAAGAGGCUAGAGACAUAUAUGUUGCCUGCUUUUGAGCCACUCAACAACAUCCCCAUGCUACUUUUAGAUGGCAGCCCUUGCAGCAUUUGGGCCUUACCACCUCACGUGAUUGGAAGACAAUUCAGAUAUCAUCUAAUCCUAAUUAUACUGAAGAUGGAAACACAUAUCCCUCACCCACCCAAUGAAAACUCCUGCAAAUGUUCAAACAUCUUCUGCUGGAAAGACUGCUAGUGAAAGAUCAUCUAUUUUAUUACCACAUAAAGCAAACCUAAUCCCUACCAGAUGUUUAUUUGAAGGCAGAGUCUUCUAUGUAGAGUUAGGUAUUUUUUUUGCAUUUUUAAAUUUUAUCACUUUAUUUGGCAAAAAGUACUUAUAAAUAACCAAAAAGAUAACACAUCCCAGACUAAAUUCUCUGCCUUAAUAGAUUCUGAAAUAAAUGGAAUCAAAAUUAAGUUGAUUAUACUAUA
rnacentral:lncRNA from 1 species